rnacentral:lncRNA from 1 species
AAAACCACCAUCCCUUCUUGCCCUACCACUGCAGAUCAGGGAAUCAGGUGAUAAGAAUGAAGAAUAGGUGACUGAGCCAAGAGUGAGAGAAAAAACUAAUAUAUAUUGCAUUCCUGCUAUAUGCCAAGCGUUAUGCUGCAUUAUCCAACAAAUAUUGCCACAUGCCUACCAUAUGCCAGAACUAUUUUAAACACUGGGGUUACAAAGUGACUCCAUCUACUAAAGAAUAAAACAUUAGAGCACUGGUUCUCUCCACUAAUCAACCGUCAUAGCCUUGGAAGUGAACUACCCCAAAUCUCGCAUCAUCAGAAUUAAUACUGUUUUAUACACCAAACAGAUUCCUUCCUCCCAGAGUUAGCACUGUAACUGAGGCCCUGAAGGCUGGUAAAGAACUGAUUGUCCCCUCAGACUGGUCACUCAACACUGGUCUGGCAGCUUACAUACUUUUCUCAACCUAGCAUGAGUUCUCACUCCAGCUUAAGAACUGGCUGUAUUGAUCCACCCCACAUUACUUCCUUUCUUCUAGAGUCUACAUAGAUAUUACUGCCUAUAUUGUUCAUCUUAAUUAUG